UUCUAAUCAGUGGGCCAAGAGGAGACCCUCCUGCCCUUCUCCCAAGACUCUACUGCCCCUCUGAGCAGUCCCAGCGAAGCAUCCACGCUCUUUAUGCCGGUCCCAGGGAAGGAGGUUGUGUUGGUUAAAAAUACCGGGUGGAAAUCUCUUUUCCCUGAAUGUGCAGAAUGCUAUUAAAGGGAUGCCUUUCAGUCUAGCUGGAUCCUGGGUGAAGACCCAGGCCUUGCUGAAGAAAAAAGAGAGGCCCAUGCAUGCCAUUGUGAAUUUCCAGACAGGGAGCUCGCACCUUCGGUUUCUUCCAUUCCUGGGCACAGAUGGGGCCUGAUCGUGCUUGGAACUUGGGUCAGUUGUCCUGCUCACAACCUCUCAUGGUCUCCUGCUGCCCCUGGGGUUGUGUCUGUGAUGUCCCUUCCCAGGGACAGAUGUAGCUUCCAGGUAUGCUGGGGGCGGGGCUCAUGGUCCUCCCUGCACCAAUACCAGUGCCCAACUUCCCCAGGCCACUGGGGUCGCUCCAGGAAUGGUGUUGCAGUCAGCCUGGUCUGCUGACAAAAUCCCAUAGACUGAGUGGCCUAGGCAGGAGGAAUUUAUUCCUCACAGCUCUGGAUGCUGGAAGUCCAAGAUCAAGGAUCUGGCCGGUUUGGUUCCCGCCAAUGGGGAGUUCCGGGAACCGAAAACCUGCCUUCUGCAUCUGUGCCUUUGCUCAAGCUGUACCUGGGAGAACAAGCCAGAUCUCACCAGCUGUGUCUGCGACUAAGCCCAGCACCCAAAAGAGAACAGGUUUGGGCUCCAUCCCCUGCUGUGAUUUCUACCUGGAAUGACGUUUCUGUCCCUGAUUGAUCCUUCAGGACUCAUUUCAGCAACUGCACAGGCCCUGGCACACUGGCAUUCAAAUGGCAGCACCAUGAAGGCAGGAUUUUGUCUACUUUGCUUAUCUAUGUAUUCUGAGCGCCUAGAAUCCUGCCUGGCACAGGGUAGACAUGCCGUCAAGGGUUACUGAAUGAAUGAAUAAAUGAACGAAUGGAUGUUAACCUGUACCGAGUGACAUUCUACUACUUAGAAGCUUUGUGAGCUUGGGUGAAACACUUAACCUCUCUGAGCUUCCCUUUCUUCCUCGCUAAAUGGGGAUAUUAAUAGUGCCAUUCUUGAAGGGUCACUAUGAGGCUUGGUGAAAAGCUGCAUGUGACAGGGCCUAGCAAAUGUCACACACGCAGCCCAAGCUGGCUGCAUAUGAGUCUACGUCUGACCCCAAAGGCCUCAGACAAAUUCCCAGGGGGCUUUGAGGUUGUCCAUCUGAGCUCAGAGUCCUAUUGCUGCCGCCCUGUGUGGUCCAUGGGAAACGAGGCUCACAGGUCUGUGCUCCUUCCCCUCGGCCGAGGGAUGGUGACCUCUGGGGGUCAGCUCUGACUCUGGGGUCAGCAGAUCUAUUGUGUAGGGGCUGCUGAAGGCCGGGCAGCUUCAUCGAGUCCCUAGAGCCCAGCUGGCCGGUGCAGCCAAGGUCAUGGUCCUCAUUCCCUGAAUGGCUCUUUCUUUAAAUAGAGGCAAACUCUUCUUUGGCAGCCACAGGCGGCUCCUAACUCAGCCAGCUGUCUGAUGACUCUGUCAGGUCCCUUUGGGUCCUAAAGGCUACAGAGGGGGCAGCACAGAGGUGGGAUGACAUAGAGCUUGGCCCCGGUGCAGCGUCUUCCCACUUCUGGCUGUGUGACACUGGGAGAGUGACUUCACAUCUCUGAGCCUCAAUCUCCACAUGCGUGAAAUGGGGAAACAAAACCUACCUGGGGAGGAAGUUAUAAGGAGCCGAGAUAAUGCAUGUAAUUCUCCCAGUUAAGUGGCACUCGCUGAAGUAUCACUUCAUCAUUAUAAUUUUUAAAUACAUGAUAAAAUGUAAAAAU